ACAUCACUAUAAACUUGUCGCUAAUGUGUUUUCUGCCUUGCGAAUUAAGGUUUAAAAUUUUUGUUGAUUUGUUAUAAAGUUGGAAUCCUUUUAAAGCUUUUAAACAAUAAUAACAUGGCACUAAACCCACAAUACGAGGACAUUGGAAAGGGAUUUGUUCAGCAAUAUUAUGGAAUUUUUGACGAUCCGGAGAACCGCGCUAACGUGGUUAACUUCUACAGUGCAACAGAGUCUUUUAUGACUUUCGAGGGACAUCAAAUACAGGGAGCGCCAAAGAUUCUUGAAAAAGUUCAGAGUCUUAGUUUUCAAAAGAUCACGCGUGUUAUCACCACUGUCGACUCGCAACCCACAUUCGAUGGUGGCGUGCUGAUCAAUGUGCUUGGACGUCUACAGACAGAUGAGGACCAACCGCAUGCGUAUAUUCAGACCUUUGUGCUCAAACCUGUGGGUGUUAGCUUCUUUGUGCAGCACGAUAUCUUUAGGCUUGCGUUGCACGAUGUGUAGCCCAGCAGAAACAAUCGCAGCAAUCGCAGCACUCAGAGAGCGGUCAGGCGGUGGCCAGGCAAAUGCGAUGAUGAUCCUCCACACGCUUUCUCCCAGGUAUUUGUGCUGAAAGCCAAUGCCGGUACCUACUUCGUAGCUCAUGAUAUCUUUCGACUUAACAUACACAACUCUGCUUAAGGGACGCACCACAGCCACCACCACCAACAACAACAUCCAAAGAGCCUCUCGAUUGAGGUGAAGAAGAACAUUCAAGAAGAACACUUUCUCACGUCAAUCAAACAUGAAAAUCAUAACAACUCAAUAAAAUACAAAAGCUAACAAAAGCUAUUUUCAUGAUUUCCAUGUCAGUAGCUAA